ACCCCUCAGUUUGGUCUCUGCUCCUGCUUCUUAUCUAUGGAGGAACUUUGCUAUAAACUGAAGCUCUGAACAAAGGACUGAAUGACCCAUCCAAGCUGUGGAUGUGUUCCAGAGGGACUUUCAAGCCA